GACGAACGCUGGCGGCGUGCUUAACACAUGCCAGUCGAACGGAAAGGCCCUGCUUUUGUGGGGUGCUCGAGUGGCGAACGGGUGAGUAACACGUGAGUAACCUGCCCUUGACUUUGGGAUAACUUCAGGAAACUGUGGCUAAUACCGGAUAGGAGCUCCUGCUGCAUGGUGGGGGUUGGAAAGUUUCGGCGGUUGGGGAUGGACUCGCGGCUUAUCAGCUUGUUGGUGGGGUAGUGGCUUACCAAGGCUUUGACGGGUAGCCGGCCUGAGAGGGUGACCGGCCACAUUGGGACUGAGAUACGGCCCAGACUCCUACGGGAGGCAGCAGUGGGGAAUAUUGCACAAUGGGCGGAAGCCUGAUGCAGCAACGCCGCGUGCGGGAUGACGGCCUUCGGGUUGUAAACCGCUUUCGCCUGUGACGAAGCGUGAGUGACGGUAAUGGGUAAAGAAGCACCGGCUAACUACGUG
rnacentral:rRNA from 1 species